rnacentral:snRNA from 1 species
AGCUUUGCGCAGUGGCAGUAUCGUAGCCAAUGAGGUUUAUCCGAGGCGCGAUUAUUGCUAAUUGAUUACAUGAGGCAGUGUUUUCCCUCAACCUACAUUGGAUGUGAUGCAAACAAAAAAGAAGCUUUUGGAGCAUGGUGAUAAUCCAU